UGUCGCGGUGGGUUUCCCUGUAGUUUUAGUGACCUGGUGAACAAUUUAAAUUUCACAAAUGCAGGCGUUCGGCCAGUAAAAGACAGUCAUACUGUAACCAAUGUAGUUAUUCAUAUAACCAUGUACAGUGUUGUUUCACUGGACACGAGUUUGCAGUAUUUAUCUACAUUGAUCUGGUUCAGCAUGGAAUGGAACAAUGAAUUUGUAGGAUGGGAUCCAGUCAUGAAUUGUUCAAUAAACAGUACAUUGAUAACAGGAGCCGACCUCUGGAAACCAGACUUGUAUGUAUAUGAAAUGUAAGUCCUAAAUUCAUAAAUAUGAAGUCUGAAGUUUCAGUUAUAAUUUUUAGGAUAAGAAAAAACCAGACUGAACACAAAUGAACAUAGAUUAU